GGAGGGGUACCCAAGCGGCCAACGGGGGCAGACUGUAAAUCUGCUGGCUCACGCCUACGUAGGUUCGAAUCCUACCCCCUCCACCA
rnacentral:tRNA from 1 species